rnacentral:lncRNA from 1 species
AUGUUCAUGGAUCGCCUUAUGCAAUCAACAAGCCAAUUGAUAUUAAGCCACAGAGGAGACGGCUUAGAAGUCUUCUUUCUUGAGAGAUUUUAUGACGCUGCUGUGUGCCAUCCAGUGGAAAGACAGGCUCAUAAACACCUUAUGAUGCAUCCUCAUGCACCGGAUCUGGUACUGUGGGAAGUCAGUCAAAGUGACCAUGAAAGGUAACCAUUUUGAAUUGAUUCAAGACAGAGGCAUCCACAGCAGCGCAACUAGAGACUCAUGAAAGAGGACUUCCAGAACUGCUUCAGAAAGCAACAAGAGCUGUGAGGUAAGAAUGUUGCAAGCAAAGGAGAGUAUUUUGUGGCAUAUUACUGGCACUGUGGCUGUCACUAUGAUACAUUUUUUAAAACUUACACAUUCACUGGACUUUUCAGUCACACUUGGUACAUUGGAUGCCCUUUUACAUGGUCAUUUAAUAGUCUUCAAUUUUUACUUGAAGAGGGACAGUGAAGAUAUUAACAAGC